rnacentral:rRNA from 1 species
UACGUAGGGGCCUAGCGUUGUCCGGAUUUAUUGGGCGUAAAGAGCUCGUAGGCGGCACGGUCAGUCAGAUGUGAAAUCUCCACGCUCAACGUGGAGAGGUCAUUUGAUACUGCCGAGCUUGAGUCCGGAAGAGGCGAGUGGAAUUCCUGGUGUAGCGGUGGAAUGCGCAGAUAUCAGGAGGAACACCGAUAGCGAAGGCAGCUCGCUGGGACGGUACUGACGCUGAGGCGCGAAAGCGUGGGGAGCGAACAGG